rnacentral:rRNA from 1 species
AGUGAACGCUGGCGGUAGGCCUAACACAUGCAAGUCGAACGGCAGCACAGUAAGAGCUUGCUCUUACGGGUGGCGAGUGGCGGACGGGUGAGGAAUACAUCGGAAUCUACUUUUUCGUGGGGGAUAACGUAGGGAAACUUACGCUAAUACCGCAUACGACCUACGGGUGAAAGCAGGGGAUCUUCGGACCUUGCGCGAUUGGAUGAGCCGAUGUCGGAUUAGCUAGUUGGCGGGGUAAAGGCCCACCAAGGCGACGAUCCGUAGCUGGUCUGAGUGGAUGGUCGGCCACACUGGAACUGAGACACGGUCCAGGCUCCUACGGGAGGCCGCAGUGGGGAAUAUUGGACAAUGGGCGCAAGCAUGAUCCAGCCAUACCGCGUGGGUGAAGAAGGCCUUCGGGUUGUAAAGCCCUUUUGUUGGGAAAGAAAAGCAGCAGGUUAAUACCCCGCUGUUCUGACGGUACCCAAAGAAUAAGCACCGGCUAACUUCGUG